rnacentral:rRNA from 1 species
AAGGGUGCGUAGGCGGCCUGUUAAGUCAGGGGUGAAAGACGGUAGCUCAACUAUCGCAGUGCCCUUGAUACUGAUGGGCUUGAAUGGACUAGAGGUAGGCGGAAUGAGACAAGUAGCGGUGAAAUGCAUAGAUAUGUCUCAGAACACCGAUUGCGAAGGCAGCUUACUAUGGUCUUAUUGACGCUGAGGCACGAAAGCGUGGGGAUCAAACAGGAUUAGAUACCCCUUGU